AGUGAACGCUGGCGGUAGGCCUAACACAUGCCAGUCGAACGGCAGCACAGUAAGAGCUUGCUCUUACGGUUGGCGAGUGGCGGACGGGUGAGGAAUACAUCGGAAUCUACUUUUUCGUGGGGGAUAACGUAGGGAAACUUACGCUAAUACCGCAUACGACCUACGGGUGAAAGCAGGGGAUCUUCGGACCUUGCGCGAUUGAAUGAGCCGAUGUCGGAUUAGCUAGUUGGCGGGGUAAAGGCCCACCAAGGCGACGAUCCGUAGCUGGUCUGAGAGGAUGAUCAGCCACACUGGAACUGAGACACGGUCCAGACUCCUACGGGAGGCAGCAGUGGGGAAUAUUGGACAAUGGGCGCAAGCCUGAUCCAGCCAUACCGCGUGGGUGAAGAAGGCCUUCGGGUUGUAAAGCCCUUUUGUUGGGAAAGAAAAGCAGCAGGUUAAUACCCCGCUGUUCUGACGGUACCCAAAGAAUAAGCACCGGCUAACUUCGUG
rnacentral:rRNA from 1 species